CCUAGAAAAAUUUCAAACACUUGAUUGAAGGACUACGUGCUACUUGGACUCAAAUUAAGUGUCCAGGCAGACUUCAAAAGAAUUUUAGCAUGCUACUGUAGGUGUAACUUUGUAUGCUAGCCAAUUAUAUAACCAAAUGGUUUAAUCACAAACCCUACAGAUGAGAUACAGGUUUCUACAUCUGAUCACUGCAUCUUUUUGCUUUGCAUUUAUUUUUAACUCAGUAGUGGAAGCUGGCAGGUUCUUUCAAACUGAACAAUACAUAUAAGCUUCUUUAAAAUGAUUCCUCUAUUUUAUUUAGGCUGUUUUUGAUCAAUGAGGGAAACAAAAUUCCCUCCUUCCCCUGAGGACAGUUUUGCAUCCAACUGCAAGAAUGGAAAGAGAAGAAAACCUAGUGCAAACUCUCUCUUUAUACAAUUUAAUUUUUACAAUUUUUUUUUCCUGAUUGCUUGUAAAAGAACUUUGAAAAUGAAUAUUGCUGUAGAGGAUGAAGAGGGAAAUACCCAGCAAAACAGUCAUGCUCAGAUUCUGAUGGGAUAUGCCUGUUUGCUUGCCAGUCUGAAGUACUGAUCUUGAAGAAAUGGCACUUGCUUCAGAUUUGUUUGGUGGAUUACGACCAGUCAUGUUGUGAUGGGAUACUUCUUGAAUUAUGAUGUUUUAGAUCACUGCUCUGUUAGUCACAUUUUUUGUACUUCUUGAGCAAGUUGAAUGGGAUGGUACAGUUGAUUCUACAAUAUCAGUCAUCAGUCACUGCAGUCAAAGGAGUCGUAACUCAAGUGACUCCUCCUACGGAUGGUGAAGUCUGUCCUACUGCCACUAGCUGAGGAAAUGCACGUUUGGUGCUACCAGCAUGCCCUCUUGCGUUCUGGGAGAGCACGCUUGAAAAACAAGAUGGAAAACACCCAGGAGGACACAAAUACCAGUGGUUGUCCUGAUGCUGAGUGGUUUUUCAGAAGAAAAGUUGAAAUGUGUGAUAAAGUCCGAACAUACUGCUGACCCUUUUCGGUGAACUAGGGCAAUGUCUGAACUGCACACGGAGGGCAGAGAGGCAAGAAUUCAGGGAGGCACAACAGAGUCAGAGGAGUUGGACUGAAGAUGCUUGGCUAGCUGUGCUAGACUCCAUUUCUGACUUGUGCAACUGUUCCAACACUGCUUGUGCUAUUGGCACCAUCAUGGCAGUGGUGGCGGUAUUGCUGAUCCACAUCGACAGGAAGGCGGUCACAAUCAUGAAACCCAUGAGGAGUCUGAAAUGAAAAGAUUACCAGCCCCACCCGGAGUUCACUCUAGGCUCAUGCAAGUUCUGUUCCAUGGGGAGGACAGCUGAUUCCCUGUGCAACAAUAGUACAAUUUUCUUUUCUUUGCACCACACUCUAGAAAUCACCCUGGAAAUAAUCCCAGCAUAAGAGAAGCAGACCAAUAAAUACAUAGGCAAAUAUGGAUAGAGUAAGAUCUCUUACUGUUGUUGAAUCCAUGAUAUUCAUUAGUGGGAACAGCAAGACAGGAAAGAGAGCUGUGACAGCCAACGGCAAGGCUUCUGUGCACCAAAACAGUGCCAUCACUAUGAUAACAUAACCACAUCGGGCCUCCUGACAGAAGAAGAGUACAUGCAAUCAGAACAGACUGUACAUCUCACUUAGACUUUGAGAAGGCAACAGCCCAUAAUUAUAUUCAUUGCCUGAUAAAAGGAUUUGAGAAAAGGUUAUUUUCUAUCUUUCUCUCCCGUCUACCCUCCUACCUAUGCAGAUCCUAAUCAAAUGACAAACUCUUCAACAACCUUGUCAGAACUGUGAGGAAAAGAUGAGGGCCUCCAAUGGGGAAAAAAAAAGAAACUUAGGAAAAGAAACAAAUUGAUUACUUUGAACCCUUCAUGAUAAGGGAUUGGCAGUCCCUGCAAAGACUUCUUGAUUUUGCUGGUGAUGGUAUUUUCUUUUUAUAUAUUUCUGUCUUUGAGUUGCAGAAAUAGUUACUGAUCCAGUCAAGGUUUCUCCACCUUUAUGCUUCAGGACAUGGCCCAGGUGAACCCCAACUAAUUUCAACAGCCUGGAUUGCUUGUACUG